rnacentral:rRNA from 1 species
UAGCGAAGGGGGCUAGCGUUGCUCGGGAAUCACUGGGCGUAAAGGGUGCGUAGGCGGGUCUUUAAGUCAGGGGUGAAAGUCCUGGAGCUCAACUCCAGAACUGGCCUUUGAUACUGAAGAUCUUGAGUUCGGGAGAGGUGAGUGGAACUGCGAGUGUAGAGGUGAAAUUCGUAGAUAUUCGCAAGAACACCAGUGGCGAAGGCGGCUCACUGGCCCGAUACUGACGCUGAGGCACGGAAAGCGAUGGGGAAGCCAAACUAGGGGAAUUCAAGAAACCC